GCAUAAUUAUUAUCUUGGAGAUCUUUAAUCUCUCAAUGCUUUGGUUACAUUGAUUAGGAAACGUGUUAAUGAUAGUGAAGUUACAGAGACUGUGGUGACAUUGCAUUCCACAUUUGGAGGUGCUGUGUAGUAGGCAGCAAAUUGGGUUGCACUGGACUGUUGUAUGUGAUUAGUUCAUUUUAGGAGUUCAGAACAGGUGGUUAACAAAGGAAUGAUGGACUGGAACUGUUACUUUGUUUACUUGUAGUUUUCUGUGUCUAUGCUAUUGUCCGACUGAGGAUUUCGUCUUUGAUUGGCAUCGUAGUUCAGCGAUGUUCAAAUUUCUUCAUAAUACUUUUUGUACAUCCCUCGUUUGAUGUUGUUUGCUAAAAUCCGUUUGUAGCCAUGGUGUCGGUCAAAUGGUGUUCAAAAUAUAAAUGUCGGAGCUGCUACCUCAUUUGCAGCGAUUAAUUUCCCAGUGCUUCUCAUUGAUGAUUUCAGUACACCGGAAAAGAACCAAUCAUUCUCUAACGAGAGACGAAGAAUCAGGAGUACAAAUGGAGAGAAGAAGCAUUUAGGAAAGGCUUCCCUUGCUUACUAACCACGUGAGCGAAACUAAUUUGUCUGAUAAUUUUAACUUAUUUAGUAAGCCUAUGCAUACAGCCGCACAGACUCGUGCUGCUGAAUCAUACUUGUUUGGUGUGAUCUCUCCCUUCAGAUGAAACAAGAUGAGCAAGAAGAACUUGAGCUAGAGGCAAAGGUCAACUGACGUGUUUUCUAUGUACCAUGAAGAUAGUAAAACUGAUGCAAUUUUAGUUGCAAUGGUUCUCGGUCAUGUACUAAAAUGGCCAUCUCAUGUUAUGUAACAUUUGAUAUGCAUGCAAGUGGAUCAGAAGGACCCAGAAAAUGGAUACCUUGCUGAAAUCCAUUUUCACCAUUAUAUUCAGAUGUGGGUGUGUAUUGCCAGAUAAAGUUAAUGUUGGCUUUAA